UACGGAGGGUGCAAGCGUUAAUCGGAAUUACUGGGCGUAAAGCGCGCGUAGGCGGUUUGAUAAGCAGGAUGUGAAAGCCCUGGGCUUAACCUAGGAAUGGCAUUCUGAACUGUCUGACUGGAGUAUGGUAGAGGGUAGUGGAAUUUCCUGUGUAGCGGUGAAAUGCGUAGAUAUAGGAAGGAACACCAGUGGCGAAGGCGACUACCUGGACCAAUACUGACGCUGAGGUGCGAAAGCGUGGGGAGCAAACAGG
rnacentral:misc_RNA from 1 species